rnacentral:rRNA from 1 species
AUGAGUAAACAAAAAUCCGGAAACGGGGAGGAAUCUCAUCAAACGUACCUUAAAUCGGGCUGGGCGGCUGGCUGCUGGCCUGCUGCAGCAGCACAACGCCGGCUGCCGGACGCUGACUGCCGAGUGCGGACUGGGCGGCUGCGGGCUGCCGGCUGGGCGCGGUGGCACCGGGCAGGGGCUCGGCGGGCAGAGUCGCCGGCGAGGCACGGAGCUAGGCGGCGAGUCAGGGCGGCGAGAUCGGCCGGAGAGCGGAGCAGUCGCGAGGAGAAUCAGGGGACGGGAGGCAGUGCGCAACGGCUGGUGUCCACCGCGGUCGUGCGACGAGUCGAGACUGUGUUGCUGGGCUUUUUUCUCUUUUCUUCCGGCCCAACUUGCUGGCUGAUUUUUUUCUCUCUCCCUCUCUUUUGUUGGUGUGGUUGA